GGAAGGGCGAGGGGAUUGCGAGUCACCGAGUUUCCCGCGCGGCUUGAGUCCUGGCCUAGAAAGAAAGAUGUUGAGGUUCCCGGACCAGGACAGAGGUGGUGGUGAACUCUCAUGGGCAUCCAGAGAAGGUCAGGCCCCUUGCUGACAGGCCUAUCUGUGGGGCUACUGCUGCUCUUCAGCUGGGUGACCCUUGUCCAGCCAACCUCUCUCUCAGCUCUGGUCCACCACCCUCACUUGUGCCAGACCACCCGGGAUGUCCAUGGCCGUCACUACCCUGGUUUCUUUUGCCCUCCUCUCUCUGAUUCUCCAGAGGAAGCCUACUGCUGCCACCUGCAGGCGGCAGGGGGCUCCUGCUGCACCCGGGCUGAAUUUGAGGCCCUGUACCAAGUCAAUCUGUCCGCCCUUCCGCCCCCGCCCAUCCUCAGGGGCCUAGGCCCGCUCCUAGUGCUGGGCCUCUACAACCUACUGGUUGUGACCCUGAUGACCGUAGACCUCGUGCACUUCUGCUGCGGUCGGGGCCGGAGUCGGGGCUGGAGCCACCGCAGGCCUCCCUCUGGGUCCUCCGCCGCGAGCUCCCUGCAGGUCUCUGCGGGGACAGCUUAGGCGCGCCCGGAGCUUGCCUGCACCUGCGAUCCAGAGCCAAGCGCCCCGCCCCUGCCCGGGCGCGCUCCCUCCUUAGCCCUGCCCCUC
rnacentral:lncRNA from 1 species